GUAUGGAAUGGUGGAGGGAUUAGCAAGAGCAGCUUGACAGAGUUGUCACUAUGAUAGGAGAAGUGCAUUGUGUACCAUGAGUGAUCAAGUAUUCCUCUUAUCCAUGCUAAGUUCUUUGGGGUGUGUCAGUAGUGGGGUACGGAGUCUUCUUGCCACAGUGAUUGGUGGCAGUCUAAUGGCACACAGGACAGUGGUCUCCAGGGUUCAGUGAUGGAUGGGGCCUUACACUGAACUGCUCUCUGGAGAUUUCACCUUUGGUAACAAAGGAACAUUUAAAGAAAGCAAGGCUACUGUAAACUCCUCAGACCAUCUUACUGCAUGUGUGUGUGGACAGUGCCUAACAUAAUUGGGCUUUAAUCACAGCUGAGGCCUCUAGUAGCCAGCACAAAGUGCUUUAGAAGAAGAUUCAAGAAACCCCACAGAUGUGGGAUAAACUGCCCCAUGAACGUCCUUAUCCUACGCACAGUCUCACAGGUUUGGCAGCCCUUAUGGUAGGAAGUAUCAGUAGACAGAGCACUGGACUGGGACUUGUCAGAUUUGGGUUCAAUUCCAAUCUCAGCCACAGAUGUCCUGUGUGACCUUGGCCUGCAUUUUUGUCCUACAUAAAUUGCUUGCUGGCUGCCUUCCUGAUCAUCCUGUAUCCCCAUACCGGAUUCUGGGAAGUUCUAAGGUCAUCUCUGUGGAAGAAGAUGUUUCUAAGAGACAUUUUAAAGGUAACACACAGGAGCCCCAGUCAAGGACCAGGAUCCAAUUGUGUCAGGUGCUGAACAAACACAGAACAAAAAGUCCCUGCCCCAAAGACCUUAUUAAAGAUGCCUUCAACCACAAGUAUAUCUAGAGCCAGAAAAACAUUCAUGCAUGUGUUUAAUUUUAGUUUCAUUGAACUUAAUAAUGUGCUUAAAUACUUUGCUAGAUCACAACCUGUAGCAUCACUAGCACAAGGCUAUUAUAAGAUUUAAAUGCUAAGCCAGGAAAUGCAACGGAAAAGCCUUAAAUUCAGGGUUUUAAAAAAUUCCUACAUAGUAAGAUAUUAAGUCCAGCAAUACGAAAUAAUGGGGAUGAGCCAAAGGAAAGCCCAAAAUAUAAAGCUCCUAUAUAACACACAACAAAAGGGGAAAAUGUAUUGCAUAGCCCAGUACGAUGGUCUCUACAAGAAUGUUACUGUACAUGUGAAAUGUAUCAAAUGAAAUAAAAGUAAGCAACUUCUCUGUCUUAUAAAGGAAGUGGCAGAGCUACAGGAUAAGCAGUAGAUGUUUUAAAUUUAGGAGUGAGACAAUGGGGUUUGGCAUAUGAUUAUCUACAGAGCCGUCUAAUAAUUCAAAGAACAGAGACGCCAAUUAUUGGGCACUGUCA